UACGAAGGGAGCUAGCGUUGUUCGGAAUCACUGGGCGUAAAGCGCUCGUAGGCGGAUGUGUCAGUCAGGGGUGAAAUCCCGGAGCUCAACUUCGGAACUGCCUUUGAUACAGCACGUCUUGAGUCCGAUAGAGGUGGGUGGAAUUCCUAGUGUAGAGGUGAAAUUCGUAGAUAUUAGGAAGAACACCGGUGGCGAAGGCGGCCCACUGGAUCGGUACUGACGCUGAGGUGCGAAAGCGUGGGGAGCAAACAGG
rnacentral:rRNA from 1 species